AAAUUGUUCGAAGAUAUAGUAGUAAUUGUUUUCCUAUUGGUUUCAGGAGAUGGAGAAGUUAAAAUGGAUGAUAAAUGGUAGUGCUUGUUUCACCACAGCAAAAAUGUUAAGGUGCAACUAGAUGUUGGUUUUAAAAACCUAGUUCUUCUAGGACUACUUUAACUAUUUAGCUGUAGACAAACUUCCUGGCGGCCAACUACUUUAUCGGAAGUAUCUCCCAAAUGAGGAUAGGGUAGAUGGAUAUUUCCUGUUCGUGACGUGUCCAGAUGUCAAAGUAGUUUGAGGAGAAUUACCUAUAUAAGAUUUUAGGAAAAUCUUGGUUAAUCAACCUCGCGACUCACUGAUCCCUAGGCCAGAGCUCUAACCUAACUCGCGCACGCGUGGUUAAUGUUCACACGCGGGAUGAAAUUUACGAGACAAAAGGAACCGAAUCGAACGUCCGUCUAUGUGUCCCGGUAUUUCACUGUACUGUAGUCGGAAUAUCACCAAAUAUACCCUAGCACCCCAGGCGUGGUGAUGCUAAUGCGGCUGCUCCCUCGAUGGAUGAAGUUUGGUGUUGAGUGGCUUGCAGGUUUGUUUAUUUAGCUUUUUCUUAUUUUUAUUUUGAAGAUUUAGUUUUAAGUCUAAUGUUAAGUUUACAAUUUCUUUUCAAUAAAAUUUAUUUAAUUUAUAAAAAAAACAAAAAUUUAGUUUUUUUUUGUAUGACGGAGCCACAACUCCACCUUCUUCUUUGUUGGCCCAGUUCGAUUAAAAAAAAGAACGAAUUUGUCCUCGUUUCCUGCCUCGAAACCUAGCUUUAUCGAAAAGAUGGCUGAUAUUUUUUUUUUCAGCUAUUUAAAAUUCAUAGUUUUGUUCAUUUGUUUUUGUUUACCAAAUUUCCAUUUGUCAAAGAUGACAAGAAUUAUAGAAAAUCCCUUUAUUUUUUUGUUUACUCUUCUUCUUUUUAUUAGUAGCUGUUUAUUAGGGAGGUGCACACUACACAUUCUAAUUUUUCGUAAAUGAAGUAUCUGAGGAAGAUGGAAGAAAGUUAUUGACUUGUAAUAAUUGAUUGAUUGACUUAAAAUAAAUAUUGAUAUCAGAAUAAAAUAGUAUGGGUUUUUAGAACGUUUUUCUAUCAACGAUAUUUCAGUAAUUUGUAACAAUUUGUUAAUUAAAUUUGCAACGAGAGAGUAUGAGAAUGAUAAAUAUGACAGUUCGUUGAUAGAGAAUUUUUACUGGAUAU